CUCAUUUUGACUUUUCGGAACGGUUAGCUGCGUUUGGACGAUGGAUUAUCCUUGGAUCCAUCUUUUGAAGAUGAUAUAAAUAAUGAUGGGAACUCACUCUAUGCAGAAAUAACCGAGAAGAAUCGAACGUACUACAAAUGAACGAUUUGUGGCCAAAAUUUGUCGAGGAAACAAAGACUUGAAACCCUGACUCGAGUUGUGUUCACGGCAAAGCUUUAUGAUUAUUAUACCAGAUCUGUCUGGUGGACAACGGAGUUGAUUACAUGUCUAAUCACAUUCUACAGGUACAUUGCAUAUUGCACCUUAAAUUUUUCUCUGUUGUCCUUUAGGCAUGACCACAAUCUUCUCAAAUACUAUGCGUUGAGCUAUUAGUAUUUCUUGUAGUUUUUCUAGUCAGGAUAGUUCUGUGGGUAUUUCAUCCACAUACAUAUUGUUCACUACAGCCUGACAUGGGAAUUUUCCUUUUAUAACCUUUGAAUGACAUGUGUUGCUUAUAUACUGUUUUCCAUCAAAUGACUGUUGAAUAUUGAAAUAUAUUUUGCAAGAGUACUUCUUGUUUAUUCAUGUUAUCACUGAUUUCCUAUAACUGAAGUAUUCGAUUACAGGCAGUAUAUAUAAAAUAAGGGCCUUCUCUUAAACUGGUUAAUACACAAUUCAACUGAUCUGGCUUUCAUUAAUUUCUCAUUGUGUUGCAGGGAAAGUAAUUAUUUCUUUUAUAUAACAUCCAGAGUUGAAUAUUUUCUUUUAAUUUCCUCUAAACUCCUUUUUUUGGCAACAGGUUCCAUGCUGUCAUACAUGUGUUUUUGCCUGUGUUUUCUCAUGAUGCAUUUCCUUUCAAUUUCAGUAAUUUUAUAUGAACAGCAAAUAAAUUGUAUAUCAUAUUCCAAAGUCUGACAUUCUUGUUUAUUUUGAAUGAUAUUAUUAAUUUCCUCUACUAGAUUAUUCACACCACGAAUGUGUUUUGUCUGUUUCAUUGCAGAUGAAUGACUGUCUUCAUAUGUUAGAAGAGAAAAUAAUUGCUUUCCUUUUGUAUUUUGUUGAUAAAUACAAGCUAUACAGUAACUUGAAAUCCACAUUAAAAUGCCUGUUUUCCCAGUGUGGUUCC